rnacentral:sRNA from 1 species
GCCAGGUACGGUGGCGCACGCCUGUAAUCUCAGUGCCUCGGGAGGCUGAGGCAGGAGAUUGUGAGUUCAAAGCCAGCCUCAG